UUGAGGCCUAAAAGUAAGGUCCAUAAUUUACCGUUAUGAUCCAUGGGUUUUGUAACAGUGACUUGUUUGAUGAAGCUUUCGCAUUGGUGUAAAAAAUGAAAGACAAUGGAUGCAAUCCAAAUGCUACAACUUAUGAAAUAAUUAUCCGUUUUUAUAAUGAUGAAAACGACAAGGCAGAGAAAUUUCUUGAUGAAAUGAUUGCGAGAGGUCUCCUAUAAGACUAGAACUAAGUAAGAUGUUUUCUAGAAACAAGGGACAGGGAACAAACCAUCGGUAAAACCGGUGACAUAUUCACAAUGCCUGUUACAUAUAAGGUUACACACUUACAUCGAUGUUCUUUAACCUACUUUUGCUUAUAUUUGAUAUCUUAGUAGUAAUUUGUAUCAUGAUAGUCAUUUGAACCUCUACUAAACCUAUUUGUUAUCAGCACAGGAAUCCACACACUUUGUAUUGCAAAAAUAUAACAAACAAAACCCAAGAAUGUGUACAGGUGGCUUCUAAGAUGGUGGAGAGUUAAGUCCCUCACAAUUGAUGCAUUUAAGUCACAAUUGAGAUAUAUCCUUUUGUCCAAUUUAUAAAUUAUGUCCGAUAGGAAAUAUAUUAUGAUUGACAAGGAGAUAACUUUCACAUCUCAAAACAACAUUUUAUAUACAAUACAUAUUCACCCCAAAUGAAAGUAUUUUAUAUUAAA